rfam:Ictidomys tridecemlineatus contig094038, whole genome shotgun sequence.
GGAGAUAUAACUCAGUUGGUAGAGCGCUUGCCUUGUGUGCAUAAGGCCCUGGGUUCAAUCCCCAGCACCACCA